rnacentral:rRNA from 1 species
AGUAUUGCGGAUCGGCUUAACUGCCAGCUUGGGAGCUUCCCCACGACUUAUCUGGGGAUACCCAUUAGUGAUGCUAGGCUCACGUUUGCUGACCUGCGCCCCUCGGUGGGGAAGCUUCAGCACCGUAUCGAGCCUUGGCAAGGCCAGUGGCUCUCGAAAGAAGCACGAACGGUGCUCAUCAACUCGUCCCUCUCCAGCCUGCUCUUGUUCAUCAUGAGCUUCUACAGCCUUCCGGAGACGCUUCAUCACAAGAUCGCCACUGUCCAGGGCCGCUUCUUCUGGGCCGGUGAGGGCGACAAGCAGAAGUACCACAUGGUUAGGUGGUCAGAAAUCUGCAAGCCGCGCGACCAGGGCGGACUUGGGAUCAUGUCUUCCAAACGCAUGAACAUUGCCCUCCUGACUCUGUGGCUUUGGCGGAUUGCCAACGGGGAUGGUGGCUUGUGGCUUCGCAUCAUUCAGCAGAAAUACCUCCGAGGCCAGCCUCUCGCUUUCUGCCAGCGGUCUGGGGGCUCCCAGUUCUGGCAAUCCGUCAGCCAACUCCUCCCGGUCCUCCGGAUUGGGACCUCGAUCGAGGUCGGA